rnacentral:misc_RNA from 1 species
CCACGAAUAGUUUGUACCCCGAAGUCGGUGAGGUAACCUUUUGGAGCCMGCCGCCGAARGKGGGACAGAUGAUUGGGGUGAAGUCSUAACMAGGKAGCCGUAUCGGAAGGKGSGGCUGGAUCMCCUCCUUUCUAAGGRUAUUAURCGGAAUAUAAGACCUUGCGGUCUUAUAGACAGGWGCGUUUGGAUCUUGUUUAGUUUUGAAGGAUCAUUCCUUCAARGCGUGUUCUUUGAAAACUAGAUAACGAAAGUAGACAUUCACAUUCRAUUGKAAUGCAAGAUAUCACGUAGUGAUUCUUUUUAACGGUUAAGUURGAAAGGGCGCACGGKGGAUGCCUUGGCACUAGGAGCCGAUGAAGGACGGGACGAACACCGAUAUGCUUCGGGGAGCUGUAAGCAAGCUUUGAUCCGGAGAUUUCCGAAUGGGGAAACCCACUGCUCGUAAUGGAGCAGUAUCCAUAUCUGAAUUCAUAGGAUAUGAGAAGGCAGACCCGGGGAACUGAAACAUCUAAGUACCCGGAGGAARRGAAAGCAAAUGCGAUUCCCUGAGUASCGGCGAGCGAAACGGGAACAGCCCAAACCAAGAGGCUUGCCUCUUGGGGUUGUAGGACACUCUGUACGGAGUUGCAAAAGAACSAGGUAAAUGAAGAGGUCUGGAAAGGCCCGCCAUAGGAGGUAACAGCCCUGUAGUCAAAAYUUCGUUCUCUCCUGAGUGKAUCCUGAGUACGGCGGAACACGUGAAAUUUCCGUCGGWACCCGGGAAGGACCAUCUCCCAAGGCUAAAACUCCCUAUGACCGAWWGUGAACCCAGUUMCCGUGRGGCAAAGGGAV